rnacentral:rRNA from 1 species
AGUGAACGCUGGCGGUAGGCCUAACACAUGCCAGUCGAACGGCAGCACAGUAAGAUCUUGCUCUUACGGGUGGCGAGUGGCGGACGGGUGAGGAAUACAUCGGAAUCUACUUUUUCGUGGGUGAUAACGUAGGGAAACUUACGCUAAUACCGCAUACGACCUACGGGUGAAAGCAGGGGAUCUUCGGACCUUGCGCGAUUGUAUGAGCCGAUGUCGGAUUAGCUAGUUGGCUGGGUAAAGGCCCACCAAGGCGACGAUCCGUAGCUGGUCUGAGAGGAUGAUCAGCCACACUGGAACUGAGACACGGUCCAGACUCCUACGGGAGGCAGCAGUGGGGAAUAUUGGACAAUGGGCGCAAGCCUGACCCAGCCAUACCGCGUGGGUGAAGAAGGCCUUCGGGUUGUAAAGCCCUUUUGUUGGGAAAGAACAGCAGCAGGUUAAUACCCCGCUGUUUUGACGGUACCCAAAGAAUAAGCACCGGCUAACUUCGUG